AACGAACGCUGGCGGCAGGCCUAACACAUGCAAGUCGAGCGAAGCCUUCGGGCUUAGCGGCGGACGGGUGAGUAACGCGUGGGAACGUGCCCUUUGCUACGGAAUAGCCCCGGGAAACUGGGAGUAAUACCGUAUGUGCCCUUCGGGGGAAAGAUUUAUCGGCAAAGGAUCGGCCCGCGUUGGAUUAGGUAGUUGGUGGGGUAAUGGCCUACCAAGCCGACGAUACAUAGCUGGUUUGAGAGGAUGAUCAGCCACACUUGGACGGAGACACGGCCCAGACUCCUACGGGAGGCAGCAGUGGGGAAUCUUAGACAAUGGGGGAAACCCUGAUCUAGCCAUGCCGCGUGAUCGAUGAAGGCCUUAGGGUUGUAAAGAUCUUUCAGUGGGGAAGAUAAUGACUGUACCCACAGAAGAAGCCCCGGCUAACUCCGUGCCAGCAGCCGCCGUAAAAC
rnacentral:rRNA from 1 species